rnacentral:rRNA from 1 species
CCUACGGGAGGCAGCAGUGAGGAAUAUUGGUCAAUGGACGAGAGUCUGAACCAGCCAAGUAGCGUGAAGGAUGACUGCCCUAUGGGUUGUAAACUUCUUUUAUAUGGGAAUAAAAUGUUCCACGUGUGGGAUUUUGUAUGUACCAUAUGAAUAAGGAUCGGCUAACUCCGUGCCAGCAGCCGCGGUAAUACGGAGGAUCCGAGCGUUAUCCGGCUUUAUUGGGUUUAAAGGGAGCGUAGGUGGAUUGUUAAGUCAGUUGUGAAAGUUUGCGGCUCAACCGUAAAAUUGCAGUUGAAAAGGGCAGUCUUGAGUACAGUAGAGGUGGGCGGAAUUCGUGGUGUAGCGGUGAAAUGCUUAGAUAUCACGAAGAACUCCGAUUGCGAAGGCAGUUCACUGGACUGCAACUGACACUGAGGCUCGAAAGUGUGGGUAUCAAACAGGAUUAGAUACCCGAGUAGUC